GACGAACGCUGGCGGCGUGCUUAACACAUGCAAGUCGAACGGAAAGGCCCUGCUUGCAGGGUGCUCGAGUGGCGAACGGGUGAGUAACACGUGGGUGAUCUGCCCCUUACUUUGGGAUAAGCCUGGGAAACUGGGUCUAAUACUGGAUAGGACCAUGCUGUAGGUGGUGUGGUGGAAAGAUUAGUUUCGGUAAGGGAUGAGCUCGCGGCCUAUCAGCUUGUUGGUGGGGUAAUGGCCUACCAAGGCGUCGACGGGUAGCCGGCCUGAGAGGGUGGACGGCCGCAUUGGGACUGGGGUACGGCCCAGACUCCUACGGGAGGCAGCAGUGGGGAAUAUUGCACAAUGGGCGCAAGCCUGAUGCAGCGACGCCGCGUGGGGGAUGACGGCCUUCGGGUUGUAAACUCCUUUCAGCCAUGACGAAGCCCUUGUGGUGACGGUAGUGGUAGAAGAAGCACCGGCUAACUACGUG
rnacentral:rRNA from 1 species